rnacentral:rRNA from 1 species
CCCUUAGAUGUUCUGGGCCGCACGCGCGCUACACUGACGAAUGCAACGAGCUUAUAACCUUGGCCGAAAGGUCUGGGUAAUCUCCAAAUUUCGUCGUGAUGGGGAUAGAUUAUUGCAAUUAUUAAUCUUCAACGAGGAAUGCCUAGUAAGCGCAAGUCAUCAGCUUGCGUUGAUUACGUCCCUGCCCUUUGUACACACCGCCCGUCGCUCCUACCGAUUGAAUGGUCCGGUGAAGCGUUCGGACCGUGGCCUUUGGACGGUUCGCCGUCUGUUGGCUGCGGGAAGUUCGUUAAACCUCAUCAUUUAGAGGAAGGAGAAGUCGUANCA